AACGAACGCUGGCGGCAUGCCUAACACAUGCAAGUCGAACGAUGCCUUCGGGCAUAGUGGCGCACGGGUGCGUACCGCGUGGGAAUCUGCCUUUCGGUUCGGAAUACCUCAGGGAAACUUGAGCUAAUACCGGAUAACGUCGCACGACCAAAGAUUUAUCACGGCAAGAUGAGCCCGCGUAGGAUUAGCUAGUUGGUGAGGUAAAGGCUCACCAAGGAGACGAUCCUUAGCUGGUCUGGGAGGAGGAUCAGCCACACUGGGGCUGAGACACGGACCAGACUCCUACGGGAGGGAGCAGUGGGGAACAUUGGACGAGGGGCGAAAGCCUGAUCCAGCAAUGCCGCGUGAGUGAUGAAGGCCGUAGGGUUGUAAAGCUCUUUUACCCGGGAAGAUAAUGACGGUACCGGGAGAAUAAGCCCCGGCUAACUCCGUG
rnacentral:rRNA from 1 species